UACUUGUUUUCAAAUAAUCUUACCAUCAACAUUUAUGCAGUUUUCUUGGCAUACAUUUGGAUUGAGGGUCCAGGAGUGUAAAAAAUUAAAUGUAGUAACAAUUUCUCUUCUUAGAUUUUCUAAAUGUUAAAUAUGUGAUUUGCUUUUGUGUUUGUCUUAUCUGAGCCCAUAACUAAAUUUUGCAAAUUAAAUUGAUGAUUUCUUUGUGUGUUUUUUUUCCUUCAGAAAAGAAAUGUAAUGUGAAAAAUAGUGAUCCUGUUUCUUUUAAUAUUGCAGUAAAAUGAAAUAUUUGUGAAAUUCUCAAAAUCGAGCCAAGGAUAAUCAGCCAAUCAUUUUUAUCUUAGUCUUUGGUGUUGGAUAGUAUUUCUAAAAAUGUGUGUCCUCUCUCCUGCCAUGGAGAUGAAUAUGAUUAGGCAACCUUGAGAGGACAAAAGAGUUGAUGUAGAAGAAAAGAGCUUUAAUUUAUUCUGCCAUUUGCAAGAUCAAGGAAGUGGGUGGGGCUGACUGAGUUAGAAGAUCUGGAAAUGGUUAUAAGAAGGCAAGGAUGAUUUCAUUUACUUCCUCAAUAUUCUCUCUACACUUUUCUCAUUAUUGUAAGUCUAGAAAACAGCUAUAAAACCUGAACAUAAUAUAAAAAGAAAUUGCCUGAAGGUACUGAGAGUGAAGAGAAGCAGACGGACUCUGAUGGGGUGUGCACGCUUGCUUGGAGGAGGGGAGGUAAGGAAUCCUAUAAAAGUAAGUUUGCAUCUCUGCGGCUCUUGACCUGGGGCUCAGUAUAGGUCCUGCGCUGGAGCACACAUUCAAAACGAAACAAAAACCUCAUAGGCUUUCAGGCCAGGGGAACCAGAAAAGUGAAGCCCUUUGGCUUUGCAAACCACUCUCUUUAGGGGUUGCUUCUGGUCCUCAGGUUCAUAUGACUUACAGGCAGGAAGCCAGAGAGGAGCAAAAGGCUAAAGGCACAAAGUCGCAAAUGAGCCUUGUCUGUCCCCUUAUAAGGAACAGGCUUUCCCCUCCACAGUGCCAUCCAGUGACUUAAAUUUUAUUACCAAGGACUGUGCCACACAACCAGCCCUGGCGGUGAGCCUGCUGCUGUGAGCGAAAUUGGGAAAGGCUACUUUCAUCUGAGCAUAUUGCCAUCCCCAGUGACAUCAGUGUUGUGUUAGUAAGGAGGAAGGGAAAAAGAGAUCUGCCAAAGGAAAGGGAUGCAUGCAUACAUGCUAACUCAGGAUUUUUAGUAAUUAUUCAACCGGUAUUUUGAUGCUAUUAAGCUAAAUUUUUUUUUUUUUUACCUUUCAGUGAAGUAACUCUUCCUGCACAGUUAUUUUAUGAUUCUUAGUUCACCCAGUUAGGGAGAUCUGGAUUUCAACUUGUUGUUAAUCUAAAACAUCAUUGUUAUAUUUUUUUAAAUCUAAAAUCUAUAUAUUAUAUUCAGGUUAUCUUUUUUUAUUUUCUGUUUAGUUUUCUAAUGUGGAAAAAUUAAAGUUUUUUAACCAAAACCUGAAAAUUAUGCAGAAACUGAAUAAAAAACUGUAAAAGUAAUUAUGAGACAGUGGACAUAUUUGUAUACUAGCUGGAUGUUUGAUAUUAAGGAAACACUGUUAAUAUUUUUAAAUGUGUUAAUAGUAUUGUGGUAUAAUUUAAGAUUCCUCAUAUUUUAGAGACACAUUCUGAACUAUUGAUGGAUGAAAGAAUGUAUGUAAUCAUAUGGAUUUGUUU